ACGGCCGCGGUAUCCUGACCGUGCAAAGGUGGCAUAAUCACUUGCCUAUUAAUUGUAGGCUAGAAUGAAGGGACAAACGAGAAUACACCUGUCUCCUUUAAGCCCUUAAAAAUUUAUCUUUAAGUGAAGAAGCUUAAAUUCAUAUGCAGGACAAGAAGACCCUAUAGAGCUUUACCUAAAAUCUACAUAAAUAGUAGCUAGCGGUUCGGUUGGGGCGACCGGGGGACAUUCAUCACCCCCAAACUAAAAGAUAUACCUAUCCCACCAAAGAUCCUUACUCAAGAUCAAAGAAUCAAGCUACCUUAGGGAUAACAGGCUAAUCCUCUUAGAGAGCCCUUAUCGACAAGAGGGGUUGGCACCUCGAUGUUGGCUU
rnacentral:rRNA from 1 species